rnacentral:tRNA from 1 species
GCGGGGCUGGUGUAGCGGUAACACGACAGCCUUCCAAGCUGUAAUCGCCAGUUCGAUCCUGGUGCCCCGCUCCG